AACGAACGCUAGCGGUAUGCUUAACACAUGCAAGUCGGACGGACUAAUUAGGGCUUGCCCCGAUUAGUGAGUGGCAGACGGGUGAGUAACACGUGGGAAUCUGCCCAUCAGUACGGAAUAACUUUUAGAAAUAAAAGCUAAUACCGUACAUUCUCUACAGAGGAAAGAUUUAUCGCUGAUGGAUGAGCCCGCGUCAGAUUAGGUAGUUGGUUAGGUAACUGCUCACCAAGCCGACGAUCUGUAGCUGGUCUGUGAGGCUGAUCAGACACACUGGCAGUGAGACGCGGCCCAGACUCCUGCGGGAGGCAGCAGUGGGUAAUCUUGGACAACGGGCGAAAGCAUGAUCGAGCACUAACGGGAGAGUGAUAAAGGCCCUAGGGUUGUAAAGCUAUUUUAGCAAGGACGAUAAUGACGUUACUUGCAGAAAAAGCCCCGGCUAACUCCGUG
rnacentral:rRNA from 1 species